UAGAUGGAGAGUUUGAUCCUGGCUCAGGAUGAACGCUAGCGGGAGGCUUAAUACAUGCAAGUCGGACGGUAACAGGUCUUCGGACGCUGACGAGUGGCGAACGGGUGCG
rnacentral:rRNA from 1 species